UACGGAGGGUGCAAGCAUUGAUCGGAAUUACUGGGCGUAAAGGGCGCGUAGGCGGCUUGAAAAGUCAGAUGUGAAAUUUCACGGCUCAACCGUGGAGCUGCAUUUGAAACUUUCAGGCUAGAGCGUAGUUAGGGAAAACGGAAUUCCACAUGUAGCGGUGAAAUGCGUAGAUAUGUGGAGGAACACCGGUGGUGAAGACGGUUUUCUGGGCUAUAGCUGACGCUGAGGCGCGAAAGCUAGGGGAGCAAACAGG
rnacentral:rRNA from 1 species